AAAAUUCUUUGUAUACGGCGGAUUUGUCGACAUGCCCGGGAAUUGUGUAAUCCAAGGCGUGACAGGAAUUGCGGAAUUGUACGAUACCGUAUGUAAAAGUUCAGUGGAGCAAUCAUGAGAAACGUGAAGUCACUUGGGAACUUGAGGACGUGAUGCGGGAACACCAUCCUCAUCUUUUCGAACAUUAAAGUUGAAGUAUGAGUUGAGUUUGAGAUAGAUUGAAUUGAGUUUCGAGGACGAAACUCUUUUAAAGGGGUAGGAAGUGUAAGGUAUCGGCUCCCCGGAGCGUCGU
rnacentral:lncRNA from 1 species